rfam:Oryza sativa (indica cultivar-group) chromosome 2, whole genome shotgun sequence.
CUGCUCCGUCACAAUCGAUUUUCAUGUCCAACGUUUGACCGUUCGUCUUAUUUAAAAAUUUAAAAAAAAAAUAAAAAGACAAGUCACGCAUAAAGUAUUAAUUAUGUUUUAUCAUCUAACACCAAUAAAAAUACUAAUUAUAAAAAAAAUUAUAUAAGACGGACAGUUAAACGCUGAACAUGGAAAUUUAGGGUUUGCCUUUUU